AUGUUGACUUAGAGAAUCCUCUAGCCAUAUUACCUAUAUUUCAUUUUUUAUAUUCUGUUAACUAGUUACUAAUUACAUUUUAAUCUUGUCUACCAUGCCACUCUUUGGUGCGUGGCACUGUUUCACACCUCUGGACUAAGCCAUGUUAUUCCCCUUGAGGGCAGGAACUGGUUGCACUAAUAAAUAUUUGUUGGUUGACUGGAUUGAUUGGUACAAUUGGGUUCAUCCUUGUUGUUGCUAGGGAAGCUUGUUAUGAAACAUAGGGAAUGAAAUUACAUAAGUCUCAAAUGAAAGAAAAAGAAGUCUGCAUAUCAAAUGUAACAAAGGUAGUAAAAUGGAAAGACUAGGUAGAUCUGGGCUGAGGUAUCUGUCAAUUUUUGCUGCUGCUUUUUGAGUGCUGGCUAACGAUUAUAAGUUUUAAAGCAAAUGAAAAGUUUAUUCAGGAUAAAGAAUCUGUUGUUUCCUCAUAGGGCCAAAUACUCAGCCAAUAAAAGAUGAUUAUAUCACAGAGCACUUAUGAUAUGUCACAUCACCAAGGUAACAGGAGGGAUGGUGAUAAACAAAGGGUGGAGCCUGGGGAGAUCAUUUCUGAAAAGAAAAAGAUGAGUGAUAAAGUAGAGAACAAGGAAUACAAGAUGAAAGCAUGUGAUAGAUCUAUUGUGAAUUGACUGUAUGUUCAUCAAAUGAAAGAACAAAUGGAGCAAUUUCAAAAUCAGAAGAAGCAAAGCAAUAAAGAAGUACUGAAUUUUCUGGUGAUAAACUAAGAAGAAGAAGCAAAUAUGAACACAUGUGAUACUUGAAGAAGAGAAAAUUAUUCUUGUGCAAGGAGCUUUUGAUAUCUUUUAAACUUCUCUGAAAAAAAUGAUGCAAAGAAGAGUCCAACAAUUAGAUUUAUUUUCUUGUCAAAUAGACAAAGGUGACAACGAACUGGGGCUUUGUACUUGUAUCUUCUUUGAUCCAGCAGAUGAGGAUGGAAAGGAACCAGGGGUUUUUAUAACUGAAAUUAUUGAAGGAGGUGCAGUUCACAAACUUGGAUGUAUCCGUGUAUUUGACCAGAUUAUUAAAAUAGGUGACAUCAAUCUAAUUGGAUUGGAUGAAGCAGAAAUCGUCUCUACUUUUAAAAAAAUGGACGAUUCUCCUUUCCAGAUUGAAAUUGGCCGCGAACCACCUGAAGUCAAGUCAGAACUUAUCGAACUCCUCGAGUUGUCAGAGGAAAGGAAGAAAUAUUUUAUGGAUUCGCUCAUAGUACAGGAAAAAAUUAGAGAUAUCACUAUUGUGAGAGGACAAGCAAGUAUUUGUAGAAGUCCAAGAGUACCAUGGUACUGGAUGGCCAGUGACCUGAAAUUUGUUAUUGGGGCACUGAAAAUAUUAAUAGAAGAAGAUCAGGGAUGUAGAAAAAACAUCCAAGCUAUCUUUGAGCAGGCUAACAUUUUUCAAGAGAAAUAUAAAGACAUGAACACAUACAAAGUAAAUAUGGAACAGAAACCUGAUGAAUCAAAUAAAGAAGGCACAUUUUUACCAUUGGCCCCAGAAGAAGAAUUAUUACUAGAACAAUUUAAAAUAAAACCUAAAGAGAUAAAAAGUGAAGAUUUAUCACCAGGGCAAUUAUUAGCCCAAGGGGAUUUCAAUUCAGGUAAGACAUAUAUCCUUGCUUAAAACAUUUGACCCUAAAGUUUUCCGAUAGAAAAGAGAAAUUUGGAACAAAUGUUUCCAUCACUCACCGAAUCUCUGGUCUCUAUUCCUUUUCCCUUCAUAUCUCUAAUAAUGAGAAUGCUAGCUGCUUUAUAAGGCUUUCUCAACUAUUGGUGAUCCCUCUCUUGGUGAUUGAACUAUAAGGGACCUUGGAAAUAUUCUACUAUAACAUUUUAAUUGCUAUAGAAAUCUAUCCUAUAUGUAUGUCAGAAUGUCAUUUAGCUUCUGCCUCAAAAUAUGCAGUGAUAGGAAACUCAUUUUCUCAACAUCCAGGCCACACUAUUGCUAAAUUACUUAAGCUUUUAGAAAAGAUUUCAGUACAAUUUUUUUUGCUCAGGCUUUUUUUUAUAAUUUAGUCCUUUUCCCUUCUUUUGAAAUAAUACAGAAAAAGAUCUUGUUCCUCUUUCCCUAUUACUAUCCAUUUGACCUAUAAAAUCAACUUAUUUUCCACCUAACACUUUUUUUAAUCUCUAUGAUCAUGUUUAGCCUGAAGACAAUCUUUAUAUGAUUUCUUAUUACAUCGUUGGGACAUGGUUUUGUUUAGAGUCUAUUACCCAUCCUACUUUAAUGACAUCCAUUUUGGUUUAUCAACAUUCUGUUGGUCUCAUUGCAACAAAAUCUUUUUUUUUUUAAUUCAAUUACUUAUAGGAAUAAUUUUGGCCAUUUCUUUUGUCAUUUUAAAAUUCAGAUACCCCCAUCUCCCUUUCCCUACCUGAGGGGGUGAAGAAUCUGAUAUAGGUUAUACUCAUACUAUCAUGUAAUACCUAUUUCCAUAUGGUUCCCAUCAUGAUAAUGACACA
rnacentral:lncRNA from 1 species